GGCUAUGUUUGGCUCUGCUCCUUGUUGCACAUGGAACAAGAUGCUGUGGCUCAUCCUCUAACCUAUAUGCUGUCGUAGUGGUCACAGAGUGGUUAUGAAAUUUCCCACGGCUCCAGAUCUGUUGUGUGGAUGCUGGACAAGUGCUGGCAGGCACUUCCAUGAUGUUCAAAUCCUGCCAUGGAGAAGAAAGACUCUGUUGACUCCUGUGGGCUCUGGUUCAGGCCCCCAGGCAACUGGACACCUCACCUAGUUAUCUUUUCUCAAACCAGACUUCCAGAAGAAGCCUCGAUAGGAGGAAAGAAAUUACCAGCAGCGUGUGGCAAGUUUGACUGUUGAAUCAGAAGGUGGCAGACCGUUUACAGUGAGAUCCCAGCCCAGACAAGUGGCACUUCACGUCCUAUUCCACUUUACGGACAG